ensembl:snoRNA
GUUCCUGGGGCUGCGGGGAACCGGCUCUAACAAAAAUAACUCUCCAUAAAACCCAGAGAAGAGAUUUUUAAAACUCCUCUUUGGAUCCUGUCUGGAGUCACAGCU